AGCACACUCCUUAGAUCCAUCUCUGCUUUCUAGGAGAUGCUUGAGUCAUUAGUGUGCUAAAUUACGCAAUACCUUCCUUUUGAUCUUUUUAAACAAUAUUAUUAAGUGUAAUGCUACAUUUAUAUAAAUCAUUAUAUACAUUGUUUAAGUGAUCAACAGGAGGACAUC
rnacentral:snoRNA from 1 species